CGUUCCCAUCCCGAACACGGAAGUUAAGCUCUUUAGCGCCGAUGGUACUGCGUGGGCGACUGCGUGGGAGAGUAGGACGUUGCCGAAA
rnacentral:rRNA from 1 species